GUGCUCGCUUCAGCAGCACAUAGACUAAAAUUGGAACGCUACAGAGAAGAUUAGCAUGGCCCCUGCACAAGGAUAACAUGUAAAUUCAUGAAGCGUUCCAUAUUUUU